AGAGUUUGAUCCUGGCUCAGGAUGAACGCUGGCGGCGUGCUUAAUACAUGCAAGUCGAACGGAGAUAUUAGCAAUAGUAUCUUAGUGGCGAACGGGUGAGUAACGCGUUGGUGACCUGCCCCAAAGAGGGGGAUAACAGCUCGAAAGGGCUGCUAAUACCCCAUGAGAUCGCUAGGAUUAGAGGCCUGGUGAUGAAAGGAGCAAUCCGCUUUGGGAGGGGCCUGCGUCCCAUCAGCUAGUUGGUAGGGUAAAGGCCUACCAAGGCAAAGACGGGUAGGGGGCCUGAGAGGGUGACCCCCCACACUGGCACUGAAACACGGGCCAGACACCUACGGGUGGCAGCAGUAGGGAAUAUUGCACAAUGGGCGAAAGCCUGAUGCAGCAACGCCGCGUGCGCGAUGAAGGCCUUCGGGUUGUAAAGCGCUUUUCGGGGAGAUGAGGAAGGACAGUAUCCCCGGAAUAAGGCUCGGCUAACUACGUGCCAGCAGCCGCGGUAA
rnacentral:rRNA from 1 species